AACACCAGUCAUUUUUCAUUCUCUUCUUUCGCAGCCUAGCUAUAAUCUCUUGUUUUUUCUACAAUGUUGUCUUGUUAUUUCCGGAAAACACAAAGUCAAGUGAAGUUUGAACAUAGAAUCUUUCUACCGGCUUUUGA
ensembl:ncRNA T27E4.19 ncRNA